AUUUGCUGUUUUGUUCUAAGUUUUCCCUUUCCUGUGAGGAUUGUACCUAAAAUGGUUUCUUCCAAGAAGACGUUUGCUCGGAGAAAGUUCAAUAAUUAUUGAAGCUCAUUUGAAGUUCAUGAUGUUCAUCAAUAGUCAUUUAAGCAGAAGUCCCUGGCUGGAAAUAAGGAUGCAGAUUAGAUAAUUAUGGUGACUUUAGAGAUAGUUGUCGAUUGAUAUGAAUGACUUCAAAAGAUUGUGUAUGUGUAUGUGUAUCUGUAAUGUAUAUAUGGAUAGAUCCUAUAUAUUUAUGAUGUAAAUAAGACCUAUUUCAUGUCCUAUUUUUCUAUUUUUUUGUUUUUU